UACGUAGGCAGCAAGCGUUGUCCGGAAUUAUUGGGCGUAAAGAGCUCGUAGGCGGUCUGUUACGUCUGCUGUGAAAACCCAGGGCUUAACCCUGGGCUUGCAGUGGAUACGGGCAGACUAGAGGCAGGUAGGGGAGAAUGGAAUUCCCGGUGUAGCGGUGAAAUGCGCAGAUAUCGGGAGGAACACCGGUGGCGAAGGCGGUUCUCUGGGCCUGACCUGACGCUGAGGAGCGAAAGCGUGGGGAGCGAACAGG
rnacentral:rRNA from 1 species